rnacentral:rRNA from 1 species
AUGAUGUUGGUUUAAUUCGAUGCAACGCGAAAACCUUACCCACCUUUGACAUGUACGGAAUCCUUUAGAGAUAGAGGAGUGCUCGAAAGAGAACCGUAACACAGGUGCUGCAUGGCUGUCGUCAGCUCGUGUCGUGAGAUGUUGGGUUAAGUCCCGCAACGAGCGCAACCCUUGUCAUUAGUUGCUACAUUCAGUUGGGCACUCUAAUGAGACUGCCGGUGACAAACCGGAGGAAGGUGGGGAUGACGUCAAGUCCUCAUGGCCCUUAUAGGUGGGGCUACACACGUCAUACAAUGGAUGGUACAAAGGGUCGCCAACCCGCGAGGGGGAGCCAAUCCCAUAAAGCCAUUCGUAGUCCGGAUCGCAGUCUGCAACUCGACUGCGUGAAGCCGGAAUCGCUAGUAAUCGCGGAUCAGCAUGCCGCGGUCGAAUACGUUCCCGGGCCUU